GAUGAACGCUAGCGGCAGGCCUAAUACAUGCAAGUCGAACGGUAACAGGCCUUCGGGUGCUGACGAGUGGCGAACGGGUGAGUAAUGCAUCGGAACGUGCCCAAUCGUGGGGGAUAACGUAGCGAAAGUUACGCUAAUACCGCAUACGACCUACGGGUGAAAGUGGGGGACCUUCGGGCCUCACGCGAUGAGAUGAGCCGAUGCCGGAUUAGCUAGUUGGCGGGGUAAAGGCCCACCAAGGCGACGAUCCGUAGCUGGUCUGAGAGGAUGAUCAGCCACACUGGAACUGAGACACGGUCCAGACUCCUACGGGAGGCAGCAGUGGGGAAUAUUGGACAAUGGGCGCAAGCCUGAUCCAGCCAUGCCGCGUGUGUGAAGAAGGCCUUCGGUUGUAAG
rnacentral:rRNA from 1 species